AGUGAACGCUGGCGGUAGGCCUAACACAUGCAAGUCGAACGGCAGCACAGUAAGAGCUUGCUCUUACGGGUGGCGAGUGGCGGACGGGUGAGGAAUACAUUGGAAUCUACUUUUUCGUGGGGGAUAACGUAGGGAAACUUACGCUAAUACCGCAUACGACCUACGGGUGAAAGCAGGGGAUCUUCGGACCUUGCGCGAUUGAAUGAGCCGAUGUCGGAUUAGCUAGUUGGCGGGGUAAAGGCCCACCAAGGCGACGAUCCGCAGCUGGUCUGAGAGGAUGAUCAGCCACACUGGAACUGAGACACGGUCCAGACUCCUACGGGAGGCAGCAGUGGGGAAUAUUGGACAAUGGGCGCAAGCCUGAUCCAGCCAUACCGCGUGGGUGAAGAAGGCCUUCGGGUUGUAAAGCCCUUUUGUUGGGAAAGAAAAGCAGCAGGUUAAUACCCCGCUGUUCUGACGGUACCCAAAGAAUAAGCACCGGCUAACUUCGUG
rnacentral:rRNA from 1 species